CUACGGGUGGCAGCAGUGAGGAAUUUUGCGCAAUGGGGGAAACCCUGACGCAGCAACGCCGUGUGAGUGAAGAAGGCCUUCGGGUCGUAAAGCUCUGUCAAGUGGGAAAAAAGUCUUUCGGUAAAUAGCCGGAAGGCCUGAUGGUACCACUAAAGGAAGCACCGGCUAACUCCGUGCCAGCAGCCGCGGUAAUACGGAGGGUGCUAGCGUUGUUCGGAAUUAUUGGGCGUAAAGAGCGUGUAGGCGGCUUGGUAAGUCAGAUGUGAAAGCCCUGGGCUCAACUCAGGAAGUGCAUUUGAUACUGCUUUGCUUGAGUAUGGGAGAGGAGAGUGGAAUUCCCAGUGUAGAGGUGAAAUUCGUAGAUAUUGGGAGGAACACCCGUGGCGAAGGCGACUCUCUGGACCAAUACUGACGCUGAGACGCGAAAGCGUGGGGAGCAAACAGGAUUAGAUACCCCGGUAGUC
rnacentral:rRNA from 1 species